rnacentral:lncRNA from 1 species
UCAUAGUUAAUUAAGGAGAGGUUUCGACCAAGAUAGUCUUUGUACAAGCAACGAGCUUUUUAUACAACUUGUUUCGUGAUUUGUCACAAUUAACGUGUGUUACAGAAUUGUCAAGAGAAUCGACUCAAGUAUGUUAAUGUUAUCCCUUUCUUCUUUUGGCAUGAUCCAAGUGAUGAUACGUAAACGUAUGCUAUUCCAUAAGUGGUUCUACUCUUAGUAAUUAAGGAUGUCUAUGUUAUUCAUUCCCGUAAAGUGAUAUUCAAGCAUGUCUAAGUAUGUUCCUAAGUAUCUAUUGAGGUAUUUGAUAAAGAUGUUAAUGUUCAUAAUAUAGUAAUACAUGCAUCUUCAUGCAUAUGCAUUUACCACCGUGCUACAGUCGGCUGAACAGUCAUGCAUAUUCAUUUACCACCGUACUAUGGCCGGUUGGGCAGACAUGCAUUUACCAUCGGGCUAUGGCAGGUCGGGCGCAGUUACCACUGAUUGUGUAGUUAUGUAUCAUUAUUUACCACCGGUCGGGCAGUCAUACAUUUACCUCUGUGCGACGGCCGGUCGGGCAGUUACCGCUGAUCAGUUAGGCAGUCACGCAUCAUACAUAUGGAAAAUGGUCUCAAAGAGAAGCAUUAUAUAUGUAAGUAUAUAAGUAUGCAUAUACAGUGGUUCUUCAAAUAUUCAGUUUCUAAAGUAUGUUAGAGGCCUUGAUGGCCCGUAUGUACUCAUGUUUCAAGAACGAUGGUUCACUGAUACAAUAUUUUCCUACUUAUAGUUAUACAUUAUGAGUUGUGGCUAUGUUGGCACAUGAUAGUUAUAGAAGAAAAAUAAAUGAGUUGCAGAGUGGUUCGCUCGGGCUAGUACUGCACCGAGUGCCAACCACGCCUCCCCAGGUUUGGGGAGUGAUAGCUAGAUACUUAUUGGGUACGCGUUGAUUUACGUACUCAUGCUACUCUUCUGCAAUAUAUAUGCAAGAUUUGACAGGUUCAUUUGAUAGUCAUCCUGGCGUGUAGGCGCAUCUACUGAGGGGACUUCUUGGUGGUGAGCUGCAUUUCAUGCUAUGUAUCGCAGUCCACAGAGUCUCCAUCUUACUACUUGUAUUCCAGAAAGUUGUUGUGUUACUAUUAUGGCUCUCUUUAGUAGACGCUCAUGCAUUUGUGAUACAGGAUUUUGAGAUAUUUUAGUUGA